AUGAUCUUAGAGGUCUUUUCCAACUUUGAAGAUUCUGUUAUUGUACGGACCACUGGCGAGAGGCAGCCACGGGGCUGGGGGACUCGGCAGGGACACUCUCCCUGCUCCUGCCCCGCGCCCGUGCCCUGCCCUGCUACCUUCUACCCUUCCCUCUACCCUUCGCUCCUGGGGGCAGACCGAAGCGCUAAGGAAACGAACAGCCCAGUGUUGGUCGUUUCUUUAGCGGCUUUAGCCCUGCACAGAGCGCACUUCGCGGCGGGGCGGCGGGGCCGUGAGGGCCCGGGCCGGGCGCACCGCCUGCGGAGCGGCCGAGCCGCCACGAGAUGGCGCACGAGGAGCGGCCAGGCCGCCCCUCAGCCCCGCGGCCGCCCCCUCAGCCCCGGCGGGCACCGGCGGCAGCUCCCGCCGCCCCCAGGACGGCCCUCAUUUUGCCUUCCCAGGCUUGGCCCUCAUUUGCAAAGUCCUGCUGGCGCCAGAGUUUUCUUGUGUUCAGCCAUGGGCAGGGUUACAGUAAAUGGUUUCCUCUCGCUUCCUUCUGGGAUCCUGUGCCAGGGCAGAAGAUCAGGGAGUUCAUGGUAGAUGCAGUUUGUGUCUGCCUGCAGCCAGGCCAGUCACUGGAGAGCCAGGUUUGGGCACUAAUGGUGCUUCUUCCUAAGGAUGACAUGAAAUUGCACCACAGCUUCUGCCUACUGAAGGAAAAAUUCACCUUGAAGCACCCAAAAUACUGUCUCCUGUGAGAUAUCCCUUGGCUGACGUGCCUCCAGCCCCAGACAAGGAGGUGAUGAUGGCUGUGCUGUGUCCCAGGACGUGGUGGCUGUACACAUAGGAAACCACAGCCUUGGGUGUUCAGGUGUUGCUCGCAGACCAAGUGUGGCUGGG
rnacentral:lncRNA from 1 species